rnacentral:rRNA from 1 species
CCUACGGGUGGCUGCAGUAGGGAAUCUUGCUCAAUGGGGGAAACCCUGAAGCAGCAACGCCGCGUGGAGGAUGAAGGUUUUAGGAUUGUAAACUCCUUUUGUGAGAGAAGAUAAUGACGGUAUCUCUCGCCUAUGCCCCGGCUAACUCCGUGCCAGCAGCCGCGGUAAUACGGAGGGGGCAAGCGUUACUCGGACUCACUGGGCGUAAAGAGUGCGCAGGCGGGCUUGUAAGUCAGAUGUGAAAUCCUGUAGCUUAACUACAGAACUGCAUUUGAAACUGUUACUCUGGAGGGUGGGAGAGGUAGGUGGAAUUCUUGGUGUAGGGGUAAAAUCCGUAGAGAUCAAGAGGAAUACUCAUUGCGAAGGCGACCUGCUGGAACAUUACUGACGCUGAUGCACGAAAGCGUGGGGAGCAAACAGGAUUAGAUACCCCAGUAGUC